UUUAGAGUUUGAUUCCAUGGCUCAGAUUGAACGCUGGCGGCAGGCCUAACACAUGCAAGUCGAGCGGUAACAGGGGUAGCUUGCUACCCGCUGACGAGCGGCGGACGGGUGAGUAACGCAUAGGAAUUUACCCGGUAGUGGGGGAUAACCUGGGGAAACCCAGGCUAAUACCGCAUACGUCCUACGGGAGAAAGGGGGCUUUGGCUCCCGCUAUCGGAUGAGCCUAUGCCGGAUUAGCUAGUUGGUGAGGUAAUGGCUCACCAAGGCGACGAUCCGUAGCUGGUCUGAGAGGAUGAUCAGCCACAUCGGGACUGAGACACGGCCCGAACUCCUACGGGAGGCAGCAGUGGGGAAUAUUGGACAAUGGGGGCAACCCUGAUCCAGCCAUGCCGCGUGUGUGAAGAAGGCCCUCGGGUUGUAAAGCACUCUCAGCGAGGAAGAACGCCUGUCGGUUAAUACCCGGCAGGAAAGACAACACUCGCAGAAGAAGCACCGGCAA
rnacentral:rRNA from 1 species